rnacentral:rRNA from 1 species
UGGAACUUGCGGCUUAAUUUGACUCAACACUGGAAAUCUCACCAGGCCCGGACACCGGAAGGAUUGACAGAUUGAGAGCUCUUUCUCGAUUCGGUGGGUGGUGGUGCAUGGCCGUUCUUAGUUGGUGGAGUGAUUUGUCUGGUUAAUUCCGAUAACGAACGAGACUCCUUCCUGCUAAAUAGUCGUGUCGCCGAUCUUGCGGCACGAAUUCUUCUUAGAGGGACUGACAGCAUCUAGCUGUACGAGAUGGAGCAAUAACAGGUCUGUGAUGCCCUUAGAUGUUCUGGGCCGCACGCGUGUUACACUGAAGGGAUCAGCGUGUCCUCCCUGACCGAGAGGUCCGGGUAACCCGCUGAACCCCCUUCGUGGUAGGGAUCGGGGCUUGCAAUUAUUCCCCGUGAACCAGGAAUGCCCAGUAGGCGCAAGUCAUAAGCUUGCGUCGAUUACGUCCCUGCCCUUUGUACACACCGCCCGUCGCUACUACCGAUUGAACGUUUUAGUGAGGUACUUGGACUGGGCCUUCGGUGGUUCGCGCCUCCGUUGCUGCCUGGGAAGAUUCCCAAACUUGAGCGUUUAGAGGAAGUAAAAGUCGUAACAA